UCCAAGCAUCUCUUCCUCUCUCCCAAGUCUCAAAACUUGAAACCCAGCAAAUUUUUUCUUUAAAUUGGUUUCAAUGGUUACUCAAAUCUUUAAUUCAUUCUCAUCCAUCACCCAAUCUUUCUCCUCUCUAUGUUUAUGUUAUUCUACGGUGAUCAUACGAAUUUUUCAGCUUAAUUUCCAUGAAUGUAGGCUGAGGUACAAAUCAAAAUAGAUGCAAUUGGAAGUUGGAGUUGCAGGUCAAUCUCGAUUAGAAAAGAAAGAACAAGAAGGAAAAAAGCAAAUUCCAAAUUUACAGAAGUUGGAUUUGCAAGUCAAUCUCGAUCAGAAAAGAAAAAACAAGAAGGAAAAAAGUUGUUGGCCAACUUUCAGUUUGAAGCUUCAGUAAGAUAUCAUAUUUGGCUCGGGACUACAAUGCUAUUUUGUGCUACUUUUCAUGUUGUAAGCACCUUGUUCAUUUGGGGGGUCAGCCAUCAUAUUCAAGAUGAGAAUAUUGGACGAAUAUAUCUAUAUGGUUUCCUUGUUGAAGCAUAUACUUCAUAGAGGACGACCACGAGUAAGUGUAUAUUAUAUAAUGGGAAAAAAAUACAAACAGUACCCAACCUAUGGCCGACUCCGAAUUUCUGUACCCAAAUUUUCAAAACUAUCACUUUGGUACCUGAAGU